UCAAUCCAGACAGGUGCGGAGUUUGGUGUGGACUGACGUUACUUCAGUCACCUAACUCCUUCCUGCUUAGUUGACACAAGGAGUCAUAACUCUUUGUUUGAUGGUUAGGGAAUAGAAAAAUGGAAAGGCCGGACAAUGGAGUCAACAGAACUGUUCUUGUUAGAAAGUCCAGAUGGCAUUUAUUGCCACUUGCUCUCUUUAUUAUCAUGCCAGUCACAUUUGUGGUUUCGUAUGUGGUAGCUGUCUUGAAUAAACAUGUCUAUCCAGCAUUCCCAUAUAUAAG